rnacentral:lncRNA from 1 species
GGAUAUAACCACUCGCACAAGGCCUUUGGGUCUUAGCCCGGAUAUGGUCACUAGCAUAAAUGCCUUCGGGACUUAGCCCGGAUAUAAUCGUUAGCACAAAUGCCUUCGGGUCUUAGCCCGGAUAUAGCAACUUGCACAAAUGCCUUCGGAUCUUAGUCCGGAUAUAGUCACUAGCAUAAAAGCCUUCGGGACUUAGCCCGGAUAUCAUUCGAAUAACCAUGCACAUAUAUCAAUAAUCAUGACACAUCCAUAUUUCAUUUUCAUUACCAAAGCUCAAACACAAGACACUUAUCACACUUACUAAUUUCGGCUCAAUAGCCACAUACAAAGAGCACAAUUUUGAUUUGCUUUAUGACAUGAUCUCUAUGCACAUACGGC